CAAAUUACCUGGUGGGGCGAUACCAUGAUCACAAAAGUAGUUUUCUCAGGAUGAGGCUUAUCCAUUGCACUCCAGAUGUGCUGACCCCUGCAGUUUCCCCAAAUGUGAUAAAGGGAACUUCGUUUGUACUC
rnacentral:snRNA from 11 species